rnacentral:lncRNA from 1 species
CUCAUUUUUCUACUGCUCGUGGAUUUACGCGCACGUUGGAACCGAAGAGAGCUCUGUUGUUGCAAUGUUCAGCCCACAAGAGCUUACUGGUGAAGGAAUGGGACAAGACCCAUCUUUAUGCAAAGCCAGCGUUACAGUAAUGUUCCAGGUAUUCCUGAUGACAGUCUGCCUCUAUCUUACAGAGCAGCUUGUUGCUAUAUACCAUUGAAAAGCCUUCAGAGCUGAGAGGUACUACUAACCAAUAACCUGCUUGGCUCAAAGGGCCAGCACCUUCUCUCUAAAGCCCAAGAGGAGUUUGAGGAAAACUAGGUGUCUGUGUUCACUCCAGGCUGAAGUUACAGGUCUGAGCAAAUAAGGUGUAUAAAAAAUGGACAUCAGAAGGUGAAUUUUCCAAGUUCUUGGACAACCUAGCUGUUGAAAAGCUUUCUGGGUUUGGGGGGUAUUUCAGAUGUACCUUAAAGUGUUAGCAGACACAGAUUAAGACACUGGGAGCCAAUGAAACAGCAGUUGAGGGUUUGCUGUGUAUCACAUUUCUGUAUUUUAUCACCCCCUUCCUGCAACAUUAUUUAUCUGGAAUCUACCUGCCCUUUUGUUUUUUAGAUACAAGGGCUUGGUUUUGUUACCCAGGCUGGUUUCAAGGCCAUAGCUUUAAGAGAUCCUCUCACCACAGAUUUCCAAAGUGCUGGGAUUGCAGGUGUGAUUCAUGGCACCCAGACUUUGCUGCCUUUCUUACAUGAUCCAGGCCCAGAACCCAAACUCAGGCACUGUAUAGAUGACCACUUUCGUAAACUACUGACCUAGCUUGUUGCCAAUUGUUGAUUGAACUUCCCAUAACUCCACUUCGUGUCUGUUCCUCUGUAUACAGCCACCUUCUGUUCCCGUCAUGAGCCUUUAGGUCUCCAUUUGCAUAUUGCAAAUACUAUGUUCCAUGUAGGUAGCUCAUUCAGGGCCUUGCUCUUCACUUCAAAAAAGGUUCCCUUGAGGACUGGCUGUCAAUUUGUGUUGCUGUGUUGGUUGUUGAUGAAAAUAAUAAAAUGAUUGAUUACAUAGUCCUGUUUAAAAAAAAAAAAA